UGAGGAUGGGGAGACGAUUGUGAAGGCUUUUCAGCCAUUGAAGCUCUGAACUAAGCUGAUUUAAGCGGUUGUCGCAAAGAAAACGCAAGGAAGAAGAAGAAGCGCGUGCACUACACGCAGGCGUGUGAGGGCCGCGACUGGGUGUGCGACUGGGCGUGCUCCUGGCGCGUGGGACAGACACACCGAGGAUGAGAGGGCGCGUGAGGGCGCGUGAAGCAUCAUUUUGGGUUCCCGGUCUAAUUGGAAGGAAUUGUGUUGAAAUACCCUAUUAAAU